GUUGUGGGUACUCUAUGUGAAUUAAAAUACAAAUCUUUUAUAUUACCCUAUGAAGAAAUUCAGGCAUGGAGAAGUUAAAUAACUUGACUGAAGUCCCACAACUAGUAAGGAUGGAAACUCAGAAAAGAAACUUGAAAAUACAUAAUUUCAAGCUUCAGAAUGGAUAUAUGUCAACAAAAACCAGUCCAUUUGUUGGAAAAUUAAGUCCAUCAUAACUGCAGUUUUCUUGUAAAGAGCAAUAACAGGUAAUAAGGAAUAAAGGAACUUAUCUUAGAAAAAAGUGAC
rnacentral:lncRNA from 1 species